CCGCCCAGGCUGCCCAGCAAGGCCCCGCUCCCGCGGAAGCGCCUGCCGUCGCCGUUAGUGCUGGACUUGCGCGCGCCGCGGGCCGGUCCUUCGUUGUCCGUUAGCCCGAGGGCCGAGCUCCGGGACUCCGUGCCCCCCGCGGCCGCCGAGGGCGAGGGUAGCGGCCGUAGCCGGAUGCUCCUGCGGCUGGGGUCUUGGCGGCUCCCCCGGCCCCCUCCUCCUCGGCAUCCUCUUCCUCGUCCAUGAUCCACGCCUUGGCCCCCACCUGCUGCGGGAGGCUGUCGAGUCGCUUCCGCAUGGACGGCGGCAGCUUGUCCAUGGUGCCAGGUAAGAAAACUAAAGCAUGAGAGGUAAAAUGACCUGCCAAAUGCCCCAUAGCAAGAAAAUGGUGAAGCUGGAAUUCCAACGAAGGGCUCCACAGGGCAGGCUGUGCUCUACCUUCCAUCUGCUCAUGCAGACAUCAAGACCAAGCCUUCCUCUUCCUCCUCCUCCUCAUCCUACUCAAUGUGAAGACGACCAGGAUGAAGACCUUUGUGAUGAUCCACCUCCACUUCGUGAA
rnacentral:lncRNA from 1 species